UACGGGGGGGAGCAAGCGUUGUUCGGAUUUACUGGGCGUAAAGGGCGCGUAGGCGGCGCAACAAGUCACUUGUGAAAUCUCCGGGCUUAACCCGGAGCGGUCAAGUGAUACUGUCGUGCUAGAGUGCGGAAGGGGCUACUGGAAUUCUCGGUGUAGCGGUGAAAUGCGUAGAUAUCGGGAGGAACACCAGUGGCGAAGGCGGCUCACUGGUCCGGUACUGACGGCUGAGGCGCGAAAGC
rnacentral:rRNA from 1 species